GGCAUGGUGCUGCAGUGGGUAGCAUUGAAGUCUCACAGCUCCAGGGUCCCCGGUUCGAUUCUGAGCUCUGUCU